UACGGAGGGGGCUAGCGUUGUUCGGAAUCACUGGGCGUAAAGCGCACGUAGGCGGAUUGCUAAGUCAGGGGUGAAAUCCUGGAGCUCAACUCCAGAACUGCCUUUGAUACUGGUGAUCUUGAGUCCGGGAGAGGUGAGUGGAACUGCGAGUGUAGAGGUGAAAUUCGUAGAUAUUCGCAAGAACACCAGUGGCGAAGGCGGCUCACUGGCCCGGUACUGACGCUGAGGUGCGAAAGCGUGGGGAGCAAACAGG
rnacentral:rRNA from 1 species